rnacentral:rRNA from 1 species
GAUGAACGCUAGCUACAGGCUUAACACAUGCAAGUCGAGGGGCAGCAUGUUGGUUGCUUGCAACCAAUGAUGGCGACCGGCGCACGGGUGAGUAACGCGUAUCCAACCUACCCAAUACUCAGGCAUAACCCGUUGAAAGACGGACUAAUUCCUGAUGGUAUGUAUUUUUCUCAUGAAUUAUACAUUAAAGAAUUUCGGUAUUGGAUGGGGAUGCGUCUGAUUAGUUUGUUGGUGAGGUAACGGCUCACCAGGACUUCGAUCAGUAGGGGUUCUGAGAGGAAGGUCCCCCACAUUGGAACUGAGACACGGUCCAAACUCCUACGGGAGGCAGCAGUGAGGAAUAUUGGUCAAUGGAUGGAAAUCUGAACCAGCCAAGUAGCGUGCAGGAUGACGGCCCUAUGGGUUGUAAACUGCUUUUAUGUGAGAAUAAAGUUAGGUAUGUAUACUUAUUUGCAUGUAUCACAUGAAUAAGGACCGGCUAAUUCCGUGCCAGCAGCCGCGGUAAUACGGAGGAUGCGAGCGUUAUCCGGAAUCAUUGGGUUUAAAGGGUCCGUAGGCGGGCUAAUAAGUCAGAGGUGAAAGCGCUCAGCUCAACUGAGCAACUGCCUUUGAAACUGUUAGUCUUGAAUGGUUGUGAAGUAGUUGGAAUGUGUAGUGUAGCGGUGAAAUGCUUAGAUAUUACACAGAACACCGAUAGCGAAGGCAUAUUACUAACAAUUAAUUGACGCUGAUGGACGAAAGCGUGGGGAGCGAACAGG